ensembl:snoRNA
UGCACUGAAUGGUAUCUGCACCCAGCAGCAUUCUCUGCUGGGAUGCUCAAAGAUCAGUGCUACAGGAGGUCAGCAUUGGCAUCGUUGGUUUUCAUUCUGCUGUGUUUGUUAAACCUGGUAUUAUGGCUGAUACAGUU